UGCUCUGAAGUAGUCGGCCUUUGAGAGAAACGUGUCCGUGUGUUUACUGGUCAGUUGUGGGCGAGACACAGACCCAUCUGUUUGGCCAUUCCUCGAGUCACUAGAUGCUUUUCACUCCCCGACAGACAACAUCAACACUGAAGUGAAAGUCUACAUCAUUCCAAUGGGAAACCAGUCACACAUUCCCUAUGUCAGAGUCAAGCACAAUCAAUAUAUGGUGACUGAUAAAAAUAUAGGGAUGUCUAAUUGGUCCGCUGACUACUUCAACAUGACUGCUGGAGUGGGAUUAAUGGUUUCCCAGGAUGUUUUGCCUUCCGUGUUGCCAGAUAACACAUUCCACAGGCAGUUAAGUGCCGUGUUUGACAGACUGGAAUUCACAAUAUGCAAUUCUGCUUGAUAAGCUCUAUCUUCCCCAAACAAAACGGUUAACAUUUCAGAUGGAAAAUUCUUGAAUAAAACUAGUGCCAAAUACACUUCCCAACACAAGUUUGGAAACACUAUGAUAUUUGUAUGUUUGUGAAAGAAAAUUGUUUUAUUUACCAAGGAUGCAUUUAAAUUGAUCAGAAUUUACAUUAAAAUGACUAUUUAAAUAAAUGCUGCAUUUAUAGAUCUUGAGAACCAAAUUAGCACAUUGGAAUAAUUUCUUUAGGAUUACAUUAUUUUCUUAGAAGGCUGAAGUAAUAACUGGGGGGGAAAAAAAAAAAGGGGCUUUGACAUCACAGGUAAAAAUAAAUACAGAUAUUAUUUCAAGUAGUAAUAAUUUACAGCUUUACUAAUGUUUAAUCCUCCUGUGGUGUUGAAAAAAAAAAAUGGCACCUCCCUUUUGUAUUUGCGGUCAUUUUUGACCGGAACGGUCAGAUGUGUAACCCAUUUUGUAAUGAUGAUAAUGAUACCAUUUCUUCCCUGAAGUAAGAACAAUAAAAUUAUGCA